rnacentral:rRNA from 1 species
GAUGAACGCUAGCUACAGGCUUAACACAUGCAAGUCGAGGGGAAACGAUAGAGAAAGCUUGCUUUUUCUAGGCGUCGACCGGCGCACGGGUGAGUAACGCGUAUCCAACCUGCCCAUCACUUGGGGAUAACCUUGCGAAAGUAAGACUAAUACCCAAUGAUAUCUCUAGAAGACAUCUGAAGGAGAUUAAAGAUUUAUCGGUGAAGGAUGGGGAUGCGUCUGAUUAGCUUGUUGGCGGGGUAACGGCCCACCAAGGCGGCGAUCAGUAGGGGUUCUGAGGGGAAGGUCCCCCACAUUGGAACUGAGACACGGUCCAAACUCCUACGGGAGGCAGCAGUGAGGAAUAUUGGUCAAUGGACGAGAGUCUGAACCAGCCAAGUAGCGUGCAGGAUGACGGCCCUAUGGGUUGUAAACUGCUUUUAUAAGGGAAUAAAGUGAGUCUCGUGAGACUUUUUGCAUGUACCUUAUGAAUAAGGACCGGCUAAUUCCGUGCCAGCCGCCGCCGUAA